AUUAGUUUCUCAGAUCUCUCUCUCCUCUCCUCUCUCCCCGCGUCUUCUACCUUUCUCCUCCCCUCUGUUUCGACCGACACCGACAAAACCCCCCAGCCACUGUCACGUCGGCCACCCAGCCACCGGACCGGUCAAGUUUUGACCGGCGUCUUCUCCCUUGCUCCUCUUCUUGUUGCUGCUGCUGUUGUUGGGCUCCCAAGUAAGAAAGUGUGUGAAGCCUGAGGAGCGGCUGUGAAAGCCAUGGAAAAGGGAGCAUUCGGCUCAGAGAGUUCUCCAAGGACAGCAUUCGGCUCGUCCAGCGGUGCCACAAGCCUGAUCGCAAGAUCUCCCCUGCUUCUGGAACCCAGAUCCGUACCAUUUGUGCUUGGUCUCCUGAUCUGAUGAUGAAUUAGCUGAAACUGAAAAACCACACUGGUUUUUGUUUAGCAAGUUGAUAUUUUGAGUGAAAUAUUAAAUAAUUGGGGAGAGAGAGAGAGAGAGAGAGAGAGAGAGAGAAACACUCGAUUAUAUGGCAAUGGCAUCUCUACAACGACAAGUAUUGCAUUGGGAUUCAAUCUAAAAACUUGUUUGACUCAUUUUCCAUUUGCUCAGGACUUCUUAGAUUAUAGAGAUUCGUCGUUUGAAGGCUUCUUAGUUUUAUAUGGUUUUUACGAGGCCUUCAACCUCACCAAUUUGAAGAGUAUAGGCUGCCCAGAUGAGGAAUUGGGUGGGCAAGAGAAUAUGGAAACUGCAUUGCAGAAAAUGGAAACUGCAAUGCAGAAAACGGAAUGUGCAAUGCAAAAAACAGAAACAUAAAUAACCUAUUUUACAUUCUAGAUGGUUUUCGGUCUGAUUCCCUCUCUCCCAACAUGUUUUGAAUAAAAAAAACUAUUGUUUUGUUUUGUUUAA